rnacentral:rRNA from 1 species
GAUGAACGCUGGCGGCGUGCCUAAUACAUGCAAGUCGAGCGAAUGGAUUAAGAGCUUGCUCUUAUGAAGUUAGCGGCGGACGGGUGAGUAACACGUGGGUAACCUGCCCAUAAGACUGGGAUAACUCCGGGAAACCGGGGCUAAUACCGGAUAACAUUUUGAACCGCAUGGUUCGAAAUUGAAAGGCGGCUUCGGCUGUCACUUAUGGAUGGACCCGCGUCGCAUUAGCUAGUUGGUGAGGUAACGGCUCACCAAGGCAACGAUGCGUAGCCGACCUGGUAGGGUGAGCGGCCACACUGGGACUGAGACACGGCCCAGACUACUACGGGAGGCAGCAGUAGGGAAUCUUCCGCAAUGGACGAAAGUCUGACGGAGCAACGCCGCGUGAGUGAUGAAGGCUUUCGGGUCGUAAAACUCUGUUGUUAGGGAAGAACAAGUGCUAGUUGAAUAAGCUGGCACCUUGACGGUACCUAACCAGAAAGCCACGGCUAACUACGUGCCAGCCGCCGCAGUAA